ACCGGAUCGCCCGCGCGAUGGAUCGAGGCGGCGAAUCGGCGCAUCUCAGAGGCUUGGCGACAAGGGCGUGGGAUUGGAAGAUGUGGAUUUCCUCUUCUUCCUCCUCCGCUCGUAACGGGUCGGUGAUGCUCCACUCUCGCAAGCAAGAAAGGGCAUAUUCUCCGCCAUGGAAUCAUUCUCUUAGGGUUUUAGGGCAUUGUUGGGCGUUCCCUCUUCUUCUUCCCUGGGCGCCAUUGCUGCGAUCGCGCGCCUCGAUCGCCAUGGCUGCUAGAAAUGUAGGAAUCUCAGCUCGCUCGCGGUGUGGAAUGCAGGAAGAGAUUGGGCGGAUUUCCCAGGGUUCUUGGACAAGCUCGAUCAGACUGGCAAGGCUGGUGCUAGCUCGUGACUUGGAUUCUAAAUUUCCACUGGUAUCAGAGAGAAAUUCUUUCAAAGAAGAGGAAAAACUGUUGCUUGAUGCGAUGAUGAUUGCAUGAUACUGGGACACCUCUCUACCUAAAGCAUCAAUCGCCCGUGAUCAUUUCUCUCAGAGCUUUCGUACGACGCUUGGGUGAGGGAAUAUUGUCGCGCUCGCCAUCCACAGUAGCGUCCUCGUUCAUGUAUGGUGGACGCGGAAGCCGGAAAGAUUGACAAGUAAGCGUCUUAUUGUUUUGGUUUGCUUUGUCCUUUUAACAGCGCUGGUCCUUGGCUUUUAUGCAGGUGUCGUUGCGUCGAGAGAGAACGCAGAGUCCAGCUAAAAGAACACGUUGCUCCUACGGU